CAUAGCCUCAAUUCUUGUGGUGGCUUGUGUUGUUGCAGCAUGUGUCACCAUUACCAAAAAGAAUGCGAGCGAUGGUGGUGAUGGAGCUAGCAAUGGUGGCAUUUCAACCUCUACAAAAUCUGUUCAAGCAAUGUGUCAACCUACUGACUACAAAGAAGCUUGUGAGAAGAGUCUUGCAUCAGCCAAGAACACUAGUGACCCAAAGGAACUUAUAAAAGUUGCAUUUGAAUCAACCAUAACUGACAUAAAAAAUGCCAUAAAAAAUACUGACUUGAUCAAGGAUGCAGCCAAUGAUCCUAGAACAAAAGAGGCUCUAAAUACUUGUGACGGUCUUCUUGAUGUGUCUAUUGAUGAUCUCAGAAGAUCGUUCGAUAAAGUUGGCACCUUUGAUAUUAACAAGAUCAAGGAUUAUACCGAUGAUCUAAAAACAUGGAUCAGUGCUUCGAUUACUUAUCAAGAAACUUGCUUAGAUGCUUUUCAAAACACAAGUGGUGACACUGGUGAAAAAAUGAAGAAAUUGUUAAAGACUGCAGGGGAGCUUACUAGCAAUGGCCUUGCUAUGAUUACUAGCUUUGGUGACAUGCUUACUAACAUGAACAUUCCUGGUAUUAGCCGCCGAUUAUUGGCAGAUGACUACACAUCAUUCGUUGAAGACGGUUCUCGUAGGCUUCUUCAAGUUUCAAAUACCAAGCCUAAUGCUGUGGUUGCUCUAGAUGGCAGCGGACAAUUCAAGACCAUCAAAGAAGCCCUCAAAGGUGUGCCCCCAAAGAACAUUCAAC
rnacentral:lncRNA from 1 species